AUGAGAGGUCUCAUUUGAAAUUGUAGAGGGGUGGGCAAGAAAGGAAUGGCCACCUGCCUCUUUGAUUUAAUUAGUGACCAUUCCCUCGACUUUGAGACCAUGAAAAAUAACAUCUCCCCUAAAUGAUCGAGGAAGAUUGACCCCUUUAACACCUUUGAGUGGGUCUGGAUCCCUUCAAAUGGUAAGUCUGGUGGGAUUUUGGCCGGGGCUAGAAAAGACACUUUAGACAUUGAGUCUAGCAAAAAUGGUAGAUACAUGAUCCAGCUUGAUCUAAAGGAUAGCAAAAAGAAGUGUGUUUGGAGCCUACUGGUGGUGUAUGGGCCAGCUCAUGAAGAUAAGAGGGAGGAGUUCCUGUCUGAACUUGCCCACUUCUGCUCUGCCAUGAAUAAACCUUACAUUGUUGGAGGUGAUUUCAACAUUUUGAGACAUGGGGGAGAGAAGAAUAAGAAGACCCAUAACUAUAAGUUCAUUGAUAUGUUUAACUCUGUUAUCAAUACCUUUGGUCCGAGAGAGAUAUUUUGUAGUGGUGGCAAGUACACCUGGACCAACAAUCAAUCUCAUCCCACCUUAGAGAAGCUAGACAAGAUCCUGAUGUCUAGUGACUGGGAGGACCUCUUCCCCUGGUGA
rnacentral:rRNA from 1 species